GACGGAGGAUGCAAGCGUUAUCCGGAAUUAUUGGGCGUAAAGCGUCCGCAGGUGGCAGUUCAAGUCUGCUGUCAAAGACCGGGGCUUAACUUCGGAAAGGCAGUGGAAACUGAACAGCUAGAGUAUGGUAGGGGCAGAGGGAAUUCCUGGUGUAGCGGUGAAAUGCGUAGAGAUCAGGAAGAACAUCGGUGGCGAAGGCGCUCUGCUGGACCAUAAUUGACACUCAGGGACGAAAGCUAGGGGAGCGAAUGGG
rnacentral:rRNA from 1 species